AGGCUACAGGUCUUUUAGAACAGCAGAUGCUAAAACUAGUUCUGUCUUCCCCACAGGCUGCCUCUCUCUUGCUCAGUGGCAGGCAAUGCAGUCUGUCUGUGUUGGGAAGAUUCUCAUGUCUGUCAAUGGUACCACCGAUCUUUUGGUCCUCAGAGUCCUGAGCCUGAAGUUAUCUUUGGAUUUGUAAAAUGAAGAAGAAGGAGUCAAUCAAUCACCAACACUCGUUCUUCCUCUGUAACAUCUCUUGGAACACUCUCCUCUGCUAAAAGGAGGAGAAAGGGAACGAGAGCCUCCACGUGGGGAAAAAAGUAGGAGAAAGCCAUGUUAUGAUAUUGAUGUUUUGGGGGAAGGGAAGGGAGAGAGAAGACUAAUAACCCCAUUGAAGACUUUCCUCCAUCUAAUGAGAGUUACUUUAUACAUCAUCAGGACAUACUGCAAUCCUGGCAGGCAGGCAGAACAAGGAAGUGCUGCUGAGGAAAAACCAGAGGUCUUCCAUGACAAUCAAUCCGUUGGAAAGUUACAUGGAAGGGCUCCUUAACAGGCAUUGGGAAGUUAUAGUUGUCCAAAAAAAGAUCCUGUCAUUCUUGGGGAGGUAGCUGAGGAGAUAUAUUUUGGGAUUCAAAGGCUCUGAAAUAAAACUAAUCCUAUUCCACUCA
rnacentral:lncRNA from 1 species